rnacentral:rRNA from 1 species
UACGUAGGGGGCAAGCGUUGUCCGGAUUUAUUGGGCGUAAAGAGCGUGUAGGCGGCCAGGUAGGUGGGUUGUGAAAACUGGAGGCUCAACCUUCAGACGUCGACCCAAACCCCCUGGCUAAACGUCCGGAAGAGGAGAGUGGAAUUCCUGGGUGAUGAGCGGUGAAAUGACGCAGAUAUCAGGAAGAACACCCGUGGCGAAGGCGGCUCUCUGGGAUGGUACUGACGCUGAGACGCGAA